GUCUCGCCGAGCUGACUGAAAAAUUUAAAGAUGAAGGCAUUGAUGAGGAAAUUCUUUACCUUCUUGAUGAUCCAGAAAUUGAUAGCUUGAUCCCCAGAGUGGGACACAGGGCGAAAUUUAAGAAUAAACUCAAGUUGUUAAAGG